UACGGAGGGUGCAAGCGUUAUCCGGAUUCACUGGGUUUAAAGGGUGCGUAGGUGGCUUUGUAAGUCAGUGGUGAAAUGCCGCAGCUCAACUGCGGAACUGCCAUUGAUACUGCUUAGCUUGAAUCAGGUCGAGGUGGAUGGAAUAAUACAUGUAGCGGUGAAAUGCUUAGAUAUGUAUUAGAACACCGAUUGCGAAGGCAGUUCACUAGGCCUGAAUUGACACUGAGGCACGAAAGCGUGGGGAUCAAACAGG
rnacentral:rRNA from 1 species